rnacentral:rRNA from 1 species
UACGUAGGGUGCAAGCGUUAAUCGGAAUUAUUGGGCGUAAAGCGCGCGCAGGCGGUUUUGUAAGUCUGUCGUGAAAGCCCCGGGCUCAACCUGGGAAUUGCGAUGGAGACUGCAAGGCUUGAAUCUGGCAGAGGGGGGUAGAAUUCCACGUGUAGCAGUGAAAUGCGUAGAGAUGUGGAGGAACACCGAUGGCGAAGGCAGCCCCCUGGGUCAAGAUUGACGCUCAUGCACGAAAGCGUGGGGAGCAAACAGG